AUUGAACGCUGGCGGCAGGCCUAACACAUGCAAGUCGAGCGGAUGAAGGGAGCUUGCUCCCGGAUUCAGCGGCGGACGGGUGAGUAAUGCCUAGGAAUCUGCCUGGUAGUGGGGGAUAACGUCCGGAAACGGGCGCUAAUACCGCAUACGUCCUGAGGGAGGAAGUGGGGGAUCUUCGGACCUCACGCUAUCAGAUGAGCCUAGGUCGGAUUAGCUAGUUGGUGGGGUAAAGGCCUACCAAGGCGACGAUCCGUAACUGGUCUGAGAGGAUGAUCAGUCACACUGGAACUGAGACACGGUCCAGACUCCUACGGGAGGCAGCAGUGGGGAAUAUUGGACAAUGGGCGAAAGCCUGAUCCAGCCAUGCCGCGUGUGUGAAGAAGGUCUUCGGAUUGUAAAGCACUUUAAGUUGGGAGGAAGGGCAGUAAGUUAAUACCUUGCUGUCUUGACGUUACCAACAGAAUAAGCACCGGCUAACUUCGUG
rnacentral:rRNA from 1 species